GUAAAAGGAGACAUGGGAGACACCUCUGCUCUCUCUCUCCCGCAGAAACUGUGCCUGGGCUUUUGGGAUGUUGUUAGACCUGUUCUCUCCUAUUAGUGAUGUUAGAGCUGCUGUGGGGGUACAGGGCUCUGCAGCCAUAUGCAGCCCCAAAACUACCCCAAAACUGCCACAAGUGGGCACAGUGAGGGCUGAGAGUCAGUACUGUUCUCCAGCAGAGAAGCUGUAUUGCAAAGGUCUCUGCUCUGCUUCUUGUUUUUAUCCUCCAUUGCACAAUGCAGUGUGCUGGCUUCCCAGCCUCUGUCACUGCACUGCCAUCCCUCGGAGCUACAGUGAAGUGCCACCAGAGGACAAUGUGCCCAAUGGACACUGGUGUUCCACCUGCUACAGUGUGGACUCCUUCCAGUGAGAUAACUGCUGGGAUUCACCGUAGUAUGACAUAACUGAGGUCAAGAGCAGAACUGGACUUGUGAAGCAAUCUGAUAUAUGGACAUGUAAUAAACUUGACCAGCACCCUGAAUUUUCUGGUCCU
rnacentral:lncRNA from 1 species